AGCACUACGCCGCCACCCGCCACGCUGCGGGAGGCACCCGCGCCUGCAACCGCCACUGUCCAUGGGUGCGGCGGAGGAGGAUGGUGGUGGCGGCGGCCUGGACGCUGUCCCACUCCCUGACAUGCCGCACCUCCCAACUGCCGGCCACCCAGCUGCACCUCCAGGUCAUGGUCGAGCCGUCCCCUCCCAGCCAUACCUAAGCCGCCCUCCUCAACCCCAAUCGAUCCCGUCCUCCGCCGGAUGCCAGUCAAAGCACCCCAGAUCUAGGCAGAGGCGAGCAGGACUGCAGGAGCGGCGGCACCCACGGCGGUCUGAAGCGAUGGCAGCUGUGGCGCCCUGUGCGCAGCGGCAUCCUUCAUGGCAAGUCUCUAGGCCUUCCCGGGGCCGCCGCCGCCGCCGCGUCCUGAGAUCUACACCACUCAUCGAGGUCCGUCGCUCAAACCCCUGGCACCGCGGCCCCUGGCGCCUCCGUCGCCGGAGCUAGUGACGAGCACUGCAGGAGCUGUGCGGCAUGCCAGAUACCGACACCUUCUGCCUGAUGAUGGUGUUACUGCCACUGGAUGAACUCACCUGAAGCCCUUCUUCAGUGAGUUCGGACUUAUCAGAUACUGUGUCCUCAUCGAGUUACCUCACAUUCAGGACAUCCCGCAUUCUCGGCGUAUGCUCUCCUGCAGGUCAAUUGGCCGCUGACACUUCCACGAAAUUAAUGGUAGCUCUAAUAUGCCACCAUUCAGCGAGGAGGCCCAGCUCUUCUUGGAUGCAAUUAUCCAGGAUUUUGGCAUUGAUGAUUUCGAAGCUGGGACUGUUUUCUGGAUCACAAAUGCAGCUCAAACGCAGAGAUGGGAAAGUGCCAGGUGCAGCUACUGCCAACAUCAGUGGUCACAAUAUGUUCUAGUCAGUCGCAGAAGGAUGGCGAUGUUCAAAAACUUAAUGUGCUCCUGCAGAAUCAUGGCAUUGGAAUUUUGACUUGAGAUAGAAUCGCAAGAAUCCUACGCACGCAAACCACUAGUAUCUACUAAAUCUGGGGUAACUCCGAAAACACAACCUGACAGCUGGCCGAGGCCCUGGGGCAGGUAAGCGGAGAGUUGGAGGCCUCGGUGGCUGUCGCGAGUAGCAGCUUAGGGUGGGGGCGCAGCAAGAGGGAGCCAAGCCGGCAGGCCACGGCGAGGACAUUGGUGGCAAAAGCAACCUCCACCGCCCCUCCUCUGAAACUGUCCAUGAUGACGUUGUACAGCGAGCUUGCUAUGCAUGGAGUGGCGGCAAAGGUCUGCUGGUCACUCUGAAGUGCCUCAGUUGGAUGGGUACUAUCCAGGCGCUGCCAACAAGCAAUGAAACGGUUGAAUUGAUGUUUAUAGCAUGCGGAAUGAAACUGAAUGCUGCAA